GGAUGUGGCUCAGUGGUAAAGUGUCUGCCUGGCAUGCACCAGGCCCUGGGUUUAAACCCCAGUACUG
rnacentral:tRNA from 1 species